rnacentral:rRNA from 1 species
AAAGAAACUAACAAGGAUUCCCUUAGUAACUGCGAGUGAAGAGGGAAGAGCUCAAAUUUAAAAUCUGGCAGUGUUUUGCUGUCCGAGUUGUAAUCUAGAGAAGUGCUGCCCGUGCUGGACCAUGUACAAGUCUCCUGGAAUGGAGCGUCACAGAGGGUGAGAAUCCCGUCUUUGACAUGGACUACCAGUGCAUUUGUGGUGUGCUCUCAAAGAGUCGAGUUGUUUGGGAAUGCAGCUCUAAAUGGGUGGUAAACUCCAUCUAAAGCUAAAUAUUGGCGAGAGACCGAUAGCGAACAAGUACCGUGAGGGAAAGAUGAAAAGAACUUUGGAAAGAGAGUUAAACAGUAUGUGAAAUUGUUGAAAGGGAAACGCUUAAAGUCAGUCGUGUCGGCCAGGGAUCAACUCAGCUUUCUCUGCUGGGUGUACUUCCUGAUCUGAUGGGCCAACAUCAGUUUUGACUGCUGGAGAAGGGCAGAGGGAAUGUGGCACCUUCGGGUGUGUUAUAGCUCUCUGUCAGAUGCAGUGGUUGGGACUGAGGAAAGCAGCAUGCCGCAAGGCCGGGUCGUUUCGACCACGUUCAUUGCUGAGGAUGUUGGCAUAA